GAUGAACGCUGGCGGCGUGCCUAAUACAUGCAAGUCGAGCGAACAGAUGAGGAGCUUGCUCCUCUGACGUUAGCGGCGGACGGGUGAGUAUCACGUGGAUAACCUACCUAUAAGACUGGGAUAACUUCGGGAAACCGGAGCUAAUACCGGAUAAUAUAUUGAACCGCAUGGUUCAAUAGUGAAAGACGGUUUUGCUGUCACUUAUAGAUGGAUCCGCGCCGCAUUAGCUAGUUGGUAAGGUAACGGCUUACCAAGGCAACGAUGCGUAGCCGACCUGAGAGGGUGAUCGGCCACACUGGAACUGAGACACGGUCCAGACUCCUACGGGAGGCAGCAGUAGGGAAUCUUCCGCAAUGGGCGAAAGCCUGACGGAGCAACGCCGCGUGAGUGAUGAAGGUCUUCGGAUCGUAAAACUCUGUUAAUAGGGAAGAACAAAUGUGUAAGUAACUAUGCACGUCUUGACGGUACCUAAUCAGAAAGCCACGGCUAACUACGUG
rnacentral:rRNA from 1 species